CCCUACGGGUUGUAAACUGCUUUUGUACCGGAAUAAACCUGAUCACGUGUGAUCAGCUGAAUGUACGGUAAGAAUAAGGAUCGGCUAACUCCGUGC
rnacentral:rRNA from 1 species